AAAUGCAGAUCUACUCUAAACCUGAAGACCCUGUGAUAUACAGCACUAUAAAUGAUGAAAACCCAAAUGAUGCCAACAGAAGCAUAACCACAUACAGUACUAUUGAUCAUGUUCCUGGGAGAGAAGCAAAGCCUCCAGCAGGUGGAACAAUAUACAGCUCUGUGACUCCACACCAGCAGCAACAGUAAGAAGAACACAGGAAACCUCUGACCAACAGAAGGGGUGGGUGGGGUUGCUUAAAUUCAC